rnacentral:tRNA from 1 species
GCGGAAGUAGCUCAGGGGUAGAGCACCACCUUGCCAAGGUGGGGGUCGCGGGUUCGAAUCCCGUCUUCCGCUCCA